rnacentral:misc_RNA from 1 species
UCGUACAACUGAGGUGCAAGGGCUGUCGCUGACCUUCAAAGGUUGUGCACGCCCAAGCACUCUUACACAUCAUCCAUCUUACCCCUUUGUGCAUCACCGCGUGGGCCCCCCUUUGCAGGAGGGGGAGGUUCGCGUUUUUCAUACAAACACCCUUCUAGUUUAGAAUGUCAUUCAUUUGCGAUCAUACGCAAUCAAUA